GUUUUGUCCAUUCUUCAAUUAAUGCUUUCAAAAGAAUCGACUCAAAAGAAUCGAUCACUCGGGAAUGCUCGUAAAAAGAGACGACAACCUUGAAAUAAACAACGCGUUUUAAAAAGCAUAUUUUAAAAUGAAGGAACGAAGGAACGUCACGCAAUAGCAGUCAAAUGGAACUCGAGGUUCUCCUAAAAGACGACAUUUUUGUAGAUUUCUUCAGGUGUUUGGACAAACCCCUCUGUUCCUGCCUUCAGAGAACAAGUGGCUAAUGUGUCCAAAUCCACAUCUUCCUUAGUGGACACCCUGCAGUGAAACGCUGAUGUCAUCAACAGUGUGUGGCAGAUGGACGUGGUCACUCCAGAGGUCAUUUUCACUGUCCAGCAUCUGGUGGCCAAGUCCCUGGAAGUCACGUGGUUCAGGCGUUUGGCUGAUGCAGGUGAUAAAAUGGCAUCAAAGGGAAUGUACAGUGAGACCGAAUGCCAUGAUUUGCCAGAAGUCGAUCAUCAACAUUUUUCUGCACUGCAACACGUCACCAAAGCUCAGGAACAGGUUGAUCGCACGCUGUUCUAUCCAGCUGAUGGACGUAUUCCCUGUUAUCAUCUACUGCUGGAAAAAGUUUCGCUUGCUAAAGACAAUCAUGAAUAUGUCUGGAGUUAUAACUCUGAAGGAUCAUCUUAAAAUCUAUGCCUGAGGAAGAGUGUCCUGCAAACAUCCAGUCCCAGAACAUCAAGACUGUCAAAUCAGAUGAAGAAAAACUCCAUUCUUGUUGCACUUCACACACUACGGAAGAGCCCAGAAGCUCCUGCAGUCUGAAUGAAGCUUCAUCUAUGGACUCUUCUAGUCCUGAGAAAUGACCCACGGCGUAGACGAGAGUGUGCCGCACCAACCGAUCCACUGCACCGCUGCGUCCCUGUCAGCCCGCAUUCACUCAAGCCACCCACCCAGCACAAUAAUGUGCAGGCAAACAAACGCACAAGCCACUUCGACUGUAAGUGUGUGUUUGUGUGAUAGACAGUGUGACUGUGACGUGU